rnacentral:rRNA from 1 species
UUGUAAUCUGGAGAAGCGUUUUCCGCGCUGGACCGUGCACAAGUCUCCUGGAACGGAGCGUCAUAGAGGGUGAGAAUCCCGUCCAUGGCACGGACGCCCAGUGGUUUGUGAUACGCUCUCGAAGAGUCGAGUUGUUUGGGAAUGCAGCUCAAAAUGGGUGGUAAAUUCCAUCUAAAGCUAAAUAUUGGCGAGAGACCGAUAGCGAACAAGUACCGUGAGGGAAAGAUGAAAAGCACUUUGGAAAGAGAGUUAAACAGUACGUGAAAUUGUUGAAAGGGAAACGCUUGAAGUCAGUCGCGUCCGGCAGAACUCAGCCUUGCCUCGGCCUGGUGUACUUUCUGUCGGACGGGUCAACAUCAGUUUGGACCGGUGGAAAAAGGCAAGGGGAAUGUAGCGCCGCUUCGGCGGCGUGUUAUAGCCCCUCGUCGUAUACAUCGGUACGGACUGAGGACCGCAGCACGCCCUUGUGGCCGGGGGUUCGCCCCACGUACCGUGCUUAGGAUGUUGGCAUAAUGGCUUUAAGCGACCCGUCUUGAAACACGGACCAAGGAGUCCAACAUGCUUGCGAGUGUUCGGGUGGAAAACCCUUGCGCGUAAUGAAAGUGACAGUUGGGAGCCUCUGCAAGGGGGUGCACCGACGCCCGGCCCUGACGUUCUCUGACGGUGCUGCGGUAGAGCAAGUAUGCUGGGACCCGAAAGAUGGUGAACUAUGCCUGAAUAGGGCGAAGCCAGA